rnacentral:piRNA from 1 species
GAAACAGAUGAGGAAGAACUCAGA